AGCCCCGUGGUGUGACACGUUGGAUUGCAAAUCCAAAAACGCCAAAUAUCUUUGUGCCGGGGCU
rnacentral:tRNA from 1 species